rnacentral:tRNA from 1 species
UGUGGAAUGGCUGAAUUGUAAGCGGUAAAUUGUAAAUUUAUUUAUGGAUUUUAUCCUUCUAUAA